GAUGAAGAACGAAGCGAAAUGCGAUACGUAAUGUGAAUUGCAGAAUUCAGUGAAUCAUCGAGUCUUUGAACGCACAUUGCGCCCCCUGGUAUUCCGGGGGGCAUGCCUGUCCGAGCGUCAUUGCUGCCCUCAAGCACGGCUUGUGUGUUGGGCCUCCGUCCUCCUCCCGGGGGACGGGCCCGAAAGGCAGCGGCGGCACCGCGUCCGGUCCUCGAGCGUAUGGGGCUUCGUCACCCGCUCUUGUAGGCCCGGCCGGCGCUUGCCGACACAUCAAUCUUUUUUCCAGGUUGACCUCGGAUCAGGUUGGGAUACCCGCUGAACUUAAGCAUAUCAAUAAGGCGGAGGA
rnacentral:misc_RNA from 1 species